AGUCAUUACCUCAACCGCAAGGAGGGGGAUGCCUAAGGCAGGGCUAGUGACUGGGGUGAAGUCGUAACAAGGUAGCCGUACCGGAAGGUGUGGCUGGAUCACCUCCUUAAAGGGAGACCUAAUUCGGGUAGGAGACGAAAAAAAAGUAGUCGCUACCAAGAAUCAAUCCCAAAAGGUCGGAGCGAGGCGAAAUUGGCUUUCAAACUAGGUUCUGGGUUCACACAAGACCUGAAUCAGGAACAAGGGCUAUUAGCUCAGGUGGUUAGAGCGCACCCCUGAUAAGGGUGAGGUCCCUGGUUCGAGUCCAGGAUGGCCCACCUGUACAGGUGGCCAAAACCAAGAAAAGAAGCGAGGAAUCAGCACCUGCUCUUACCUACAUAGUAAGAGAGAAUGCUGGCUCUGAGUACAGAGUCCAGAGGAACCUUGAAAACUGCAUAGAGCUAGGUGAAAAAGCCAAAAAAGAAGACCGCAAGUCAAGCUA
rnacentral:misc_RNA from 1 species